AAUUUGGUGAUCAGGUAAUUUGCUGUGAAACACUGCAACAUACUAGAAACAACUCUCUUUCUUGUUGUCUUAGAUCCAUCUCUGUCUAAUGUGACUGUGUAUGUCACUGGAGACUCUCCAGUCUUCACCCUCUACAGCCCGACAGGUGAGUCUCAGUCAGGUUCAGUGGCAGAUGGUCCUCUGGGCAGCAUCCUGACUGUAGGGAAUCUAAAGAGAGUAAAACUCAACUCCACCGGCCAGACAGGAGAACAGACAGGAGAAUGGAAGAUCAGCAUUAACUCUACAAGCUCCUACAGCCUGAAAAUCACUGGUAUGGGUUUUUAAUCUGCCGGUAUAUGUUUUGUUUUGCUUUGUUUGUAAACCAUUGAGAUUUUGUUAAUAUAUUUAUUUUUAAAAUGUAAAAAAAUUAUACUGCUCAAUAAACAAUGGUUUAAGGGGAAAAAAAUCAGUAAAAUGUUUUCCUUUGGAAUAUUCCAAUCACUGCUGCAUCUCACAGUGAGCUACUUUCUCUCUGCUUUAAUUGAGACUACAGGUCAGAGUUCUGUGAACUUUCUCUUUAACUUCGUGGAGCGGUUAGAAGGGGGUGACUUCACACCGAAAGCCAAUCGUCCCUUCACCGGUCGGAAUGCUACUUUGUUUGUCUCUGUGACCGGAGGAGAUUCAGUCACAGUGACUGACGUGCUUCUGGUUGAAGCUUCAGGAUCUAAUGUUGUUAAUGGAACCAUAAAAGCAUUGGGUGCGACAGACUUCCUGGUCAACAUCGACAGAAUCCCAGAGUGGCCGUUUGUGGUGCAGCUGAAAGGGCUGUUGAAUGACUCAACAACUCGAUCUUUGCCUAGUCGAUUCCAGAGACAGUCACCCACCCAGCAACAAGGAUCUAGAUUUACUAUCACGGCCCAACCAAACAGCACUAUAGAGCCUGGAACCCCUUUUGUUCUCAACUUUACAUUGCUCACUAAUGCUACAGGCGGCAGCUACACUAUCCGAGCUCGGACAGACCGCAGCUUCAGCGUGUCUUUCCCCAGUUCUCUGGAUGCAGGGACAGAGGGAAGUGCUCAGGGAACCAUAACACUGACUGCACCCUCCAACACAGAGUCAGGGACGGAUGUCACACUCACUAUUGAAGCAGAAGAUCCAGAGUCUAGUGACUCAAAUUACGUGGCACUGCGGUUCACUGUGAUGACAAAGGUAACUGUUAUGAAAGCUGCAAACAAGAGUAUAUAUUAUUAA
rnacentral:lncRNA from 1 species